GCCCAGGGAAGCCCUUUGCGGAAGGGGCUGGCAUCUGCCAUGGAUUGUAGGCACUCAGUCAAGAGGAUGAUUGAGCAUUUCCUAAGCCCAAGUAUUCGGAGUUGACAUGCCAUGGAUUUAAACAGGGCUUAUGCAAAUGGAGCAAGAAUAUUUCAAAGCCCAAUACUCUGCCUUUCGCGUACUCUUCACUGGAGAGAGGGGAGGGGACAGAGAAGCAGAGUUUCUGGCAGCUGGCAAAAGGCAGAGGAGGAGGGAAGAGAGGUGUCAGGUGUCUGGAAGUUUCUGUGUAAGCUCAGGCAUCUGCAGAUUAAAUGAACGUUCUCCACACGGAAACAGAAGCCGGCAGAUGACCUGGCAGUUCCAGGCUUCAGGAGCCACCAGAGGAAAAUCCCCACUCUGCCCAGCCCAGGUGGGGCCAGCGCUGCAGAGAUCCUGACCUUGUGCACGUCUUCCGCAGCAACUAUGGCUCAGUGUAGUCUGAACACGAAUGAUUGGAAUCCCCUCGUGUUUAGAGGUAGCUUGCUAUAAUUUUAAAAGGUUAGAAUUUCAGGGAAUUAAACCCUGCUCAGAUCAACAUCCACCCCCAGCCAGGCGCGUGGAAGGCUGUUCAUUUCCUGGGGCUGGCGCAGCGCAGCGAAGUGCCGCAAGCUGGGAGCUUGACGCAGCAGAAAUUCACCGUCUCGCGCUCUGGAGGCCAGAGUCUGAAAUCAGGGGGUCAGCAGGGCUGUGUUCUUCCUGGAGAGAACCCCUUUCACGCCUCGCUCUUCCAUUCCGUGCUACUCGCGAUCMCUGGUGCUCCGCGCUUUAUCACCUCCCUCCCAUCUCUGUGGUCACGUGACGCUCUCCGCAUGGCACAGUGGGCAUGGAGGAAACAACCCGGACCUGCUUACCACUGAAAUGGCACACACACAGAAUGCAUGUCAGCGAGGUCUGUGAUGCASUGAUUCAGCCAGCUGAGGCAGAAGGAUCACAAGUUCAAGGUCAGCCUCAACAACUUAGUGAGACCCUGGCUCAAAACCAAUUGAAGAGAACUGGAGGCACAGCUCAGUGUAUUACAUUUUGGUGCUUUCUGUGGGUGAUUUUGCUACUUAAGAUCACCUCCAUACUUGACCUGAAGUGCUGCCUCUAUUUCUAAGUGCAAGAAGGCUGUGUUGGGUCUUUGAAGAAGCAGAGCAAGAAAGAUAUGUGCAGCUGGGUUCCUUCCUGCAGAGCCCGAGUGGGAGAAGAAAAAAGAAAAGUAGGUGGUGGCAGCCAAGAAGGAGGGCAGCAGAAAACCCCUGAGGCCACCCGAAAAAGAGAAACAAGGGGGAGUCCUUCACUAAGAAGAAAUGAUACCCAGAUAGUAGCCAUAGGUAAAUUAAAUGAUCCCACAGCCAGCUACACGUCUCUGCACACAGCCACACAAGAGGGCCUUUAAGAACCACCAGAGGAAGCUCUAGAGACAACAAUGAUCA